rnacentral:lncRNA from 1 species
UGGUCUGGGCUUGCAAGGACUUUGCCAGAAGAAUUUAAAGUCUCUUCCAUGCUAAGGAAAUUUAGGCCCAGGUUAUGGACCCACAUAUCUGUUGUCUGAGGACCAACCUGUUGAAGUCCUGAGAGCUUUUGUCUGGUCUUCAGUGAGAAAUUCUUUUUUGCUACAGCAGCACAUGAAGACUAUUUGCUGGGGUAGAGAGGGAUAUAAUUAUGACAGUCUAGAAGAUAAAAGUGAGGAGCAGUUCUUGUCUGAUCCAAGUUCAGAAGAGAAGAAAUGAAGAAAUGAAGAGUCGCUAUGUCUGAAAGAGUUGACUUCCUCCUCCUUAUAUCCCUGAUUCUGAGAAUCUUUCCUUCAAAGUUCUGCUGAAAUACCCUCUUGAAGUGGCAUUUCCCAAGGUUUGUUCUAAUUCUCCUAGAAGCU